rnacentral:tRNA from 1 species
CCUGGGUGGCUCAGUCGGUUAAGCGUCAUGUCAUGAUCUCACAGUUUGUGAGUUCGAGCCCCACAUCCGGC